UCAAUAACCUGCAGGAUUCAGGAGUGAAGCUGCUCUCUGCUGGACUGGAGAAUCCACACUGUACACUGGAGAUACUGAGAAUAAACGGUUAGGAAGUGAAAGUGAAAGUCAGAGUCUCCAUUUUGUGUGGAGGGGAAAAUACACCAUUUCAGGAGUAAAAACACAGGUUUGAUUUAACACACCGAUGUUGGAGUGAAGUAAACGUGUUUCCUGCUGUAAUCUGGAGAAGGAGACAUGACCUCCAACAUGAGUGUGUCUGGAGAACAGGACUUAAAGAAAGACGAGAGAAUGAUGAAGAGAAAGAGAUCAGACUCACCAGAACCCAGCUGUGUGUCCAUGAAGAGUGACUGGUCAAUGGAGCAACCACUUACCUUCAGAGAUGGAGCCAGUUCUCCUGAUGUGAGACCACAACAGAAGAAAUCAAACCUCAGCAGAAAUCAGUUGGACUCCAUAUUCAAGGAGCUGGAACACAAAGUCAUCACUCUGAUAAAGAAUGAGCUGAAGAGGUUCAGGAAGCUCCUGAGUCCAGAUUACCCAGCAUGCACUGAGAGGGAGGUGGAGGAUGAGGAGGAUCUGCACAGUGUCAGAGACGGAGCGCUGAAGAUCACACUGCACGUCCUGAAGAUCAUGAACCACACAGAUCUCGCUAACACACUGCAGAACAAACUCGUCUCUGUGUAUCAGACAGAGCUGAAAUCCAGCCUGAGAGAGAAGUUUAAAAGAAUUAAUGAAGGAAUGUCACAGCAUGGAAGCUCAGCACUUCUGAAUGAGAUCUACACAGAGCUCUACAUCACAGAGGGUUGGAGUGGAGACGUCAAUAAUGAACAUGAGGUGAGACAGAUUGAGACAGCGUCCAGGAGACCAGCAGCACAGGAGACACCCAUCAAAUGUAAUGAUCUCUUUAAAGACAAGUCCAUCAGAAGAGUGCUGACUAAAGGAGUUGCUGGAAUUGGAAAAACAGUCUCUGUGCAGAAGUUCAUUCUGGACUGGGCUGAAGGAAAAGCAAAUCAGGACGUCACCUUCAUGUUUCCACUUCCCUUUAGAGAGCUGAAUCUGAUGAAGCAGAAACAUCUCAGUCUGAUGGAUCUUCUUCAUCACUUUUUCCCUGAAAUGAGAAAACUACAAUUAAUAGACUGUGACUCCUACAAAGCGGUGUUGAUCUUUGAUGGUCUGGAUGAGUGUCGACUUCCUCUAAAUUUCCAGAAGAAUGAGAGACUGUGUGAUGUGACAGAGUCAGCCUCAGUGGAUGUGCUGCUGACGAACCUCAUCAAGGGGAAUCUGCUUCCCUCUGCUCUCCUCUGGAUCACCUCUCGACCAGGAGCAGCCAGUCAGAUCCCUCCUGAGUGUGUAGACCAGGUAACAGAGGUACGAGGGUUCAGUGAUCCUCAGAAAGAGGAGUACUUCAGGAAGAGGAUCAGUGAUCAGAGCCUGGCCAAUAAAAUCAUCUCACACACGAAGUCUUCAAGAAGCCUCUACAUCAUGUGCCACAUCCCAGUCUUCUGCUGGAUCUCAGCCACUGUUCUAGAGAGAAUGCUGGGUGAAGCAGAGCGUGGAGAGAUCCCCAAGACUCUGACUCAAAUGUUCACACACUUCCUGAUCUUUCAGAUCAAACACAAGGACCAAAAGUACCAUCAGAAAUGUGACCCUGAUCCUCAGCAGACCAGAGAGAGUAUCCUGGCACUGGGAAAACUGGCUUUCCAACAGCUGGAGACAGGAAACCUGAUCUUCUAUGAGGAAGACCUGAGAGAGUGUGGCAUUGAUGUGAGAGAAGUGUCAGUGUACUCAGGAGUGUGUACCCAAAUCUUCAGAGAGGAGUUUGGGCUUCACCUGGGGAAAGUGUUCAGCUUUGUACAUCUGAGUGUUCAGGAGUUUCUGGCUGCUUUAUACACAUUUCUCUCCUUCAUCAGCAGAAAUGUAACAGAACAACCAACCACUGAUCUGUCUGAUCUUCUCAACAAGUCAGACAUGUCUGAUCUCCUCAGGAGUGCAGUGAACAAGGCCUUACAGAGUGAGAACGGACACCUGGACCUGUUCCUCCGCUUCCUUCUGGGUGUCUCACUGGAGUCCAGUCAGACUCUCUUACGAGGCUUAAUACCACAGACAGGAAGCAGCUCUCACAGCAAACAGGAAACAGUCGAGUACAUCAAGGAGAAGAUCAGGGAGAAUCCAUCUCCAGAGAAAUCCAUCAAUCUGUUCCACUGUCUGAAUGAACUGAAUGAUCAUUCUCUAGUGCAGGAAGUACAGACUUACCUGAACAGAGGAGGUUACAGUCGUCUCAGGGGAACCAGACUCUCUCCUGCUCAGUGGUCAGCUCUGGUGUUUGUGUUACUGAACUCAGAUCAGGAGCUGGAUGAGUUUGAUUUGAGGAAAUAUGACCCAUCAGAGGAAUGUCUUCUGAAGCUGCUGCCAGUGGUCAAAGCCUCCAGAAGAGCUGAGCUGUGUGUGUGUAAUCUGACAGAGAAAAGCUGUAGAGUUCUGUCCUCAGUUCUCAGAUCAAACUCCUCCAGACUGAGAGAACUGAACCUGAGUAACAAUAACCUGCAGGAUUCAGGAGUGAAGCUGCUCUCUGCUGGACUGGAGAAUCCACACUGUACACUGGAGAUACUGAGGCUGUGGGAGUGUAAUCUGACAGAGGAAAGCUGUAGAGUUCUGUCCUCAGUUCUCAGAUCAAACUCCUCCAGACUGAGAGAACUGAACCUGAGUGACAAUAACUUGCAGGAUUCAGGAGUGAAGCUGCUCUCUGCUGGACUGGAGAAUCCACACUGUACCCUGGAGAUACUGAGUCUGUGUCGGUGUAAUCUGACAGAUGAAAGCUGUAGAGUUCUGUCCUCAGUUCUCAGAUCAAACUCCUCCAGACUGAGAGAACUGGACCUGAGUGUCAAUAACCUGCAGGAUUCAGGAGUGAAGCUGCUCUCUGCUGGACUGGAGAAUCCACACUGUACACUGGAGAUACUGAGGCUGUGGGAGUGUAAUCUGACAGAGGAAAGCUGUAGAGUUCUGUCCUCAAUUCUCAGAUCAAACUCCUCCAGACUGAGAGAACUGAACCUGAGUGACAAUAACCUGCAGGAUUCAGGAGUGAAGCUGCUCUCUGCUGGACUGGAGAAUCCACACUGUACACUGGAGACACUGAGGAUGUGGAACUGCAGUAUUACAGAUGAAGGUUGUGCUGCUCUGGCUUCUGCUCUGAGGUCAAACUCCUCAUCACACCUGAGAGAACUGGAUCUGAACUAUAAUAAUAAUCCAGGAGAAUCAGGAGUGAAGCUGCUCUCUGAUCUACUGAAGGAUCCACACUGUAACCUGGAGACACUACACAUUAACUAUAAUAAACUCACCAGGACUGGCGUAUGACAGGAGUCUCACCUCAAACCUCUUCUCCAGGAUAAAACAGUCUUGGUGAAGAGUUAGAACCUGUCCCACAUUUCCAGCAGUUUGGGAGCUGAAUCAUUAAACUUAAAGGGGCAGAGCAGAAACAAAGUCAAGAACAGGCAGAAGGUCGUACACAGGAGAAAUCAACACACGUAACCAAAUAUCUGCUGUACAAAGCACCGGCACCGAUCUGCCCCGGGGAUGGAGACUGACGAGGCUUAAGUACACGUCCGGAAAUGUACAGCCAACUCAUCCCAAAGGUGGGAGCAGGCGUGUACGAGAUGUGAUCGUCCAAUGGCAAGCCGGAACAUGACGCACUGCAGUGGACUGGGCUUAAAAGAGGAGGAGACAAGACACCCAUCCCUCCCCCGACAUAGACACACGAAUGGAACAUAGUACAAACAGAAAUACAACUGAGGACGUAACAAUGGACAAGUAUCAAAUAAAAUGUAAACUUGCAUUGAUGAAGUUAAUGUUGUUAGUAAUUGUUUAUAAAUUACCAUGGUAACACAGAGCUCCAAGGUAUAAAAAUAUGGAGCUUGUCAUCAACCGAACAGUAACCAGUUUUAAUACCUAAAAAAGUUUACGUAGCAAAAUUUAGCAAAGCGCUUUACAGUAAAUUAAAAUGUAAAAUGAAACUAAUGAAAUGUUGUGCAGCACAUGCUUAUGUUAAUGUUUGUUACAUUAUAUGAUCAUAUAAAUAAAUAAUUACUCCCAAAGUCACCAGAAUUGAAAGCUUUGGUGCUGUUAAACAUUUAGAGAUUGAGGUUGUGGUGACUCAGUAGUUCACUCAGUAUAUCUGGGUAAGACACAGUGAACGACUCACUGCUGGCAUUCAUGAAGAAGUCAUAAACUCCACUGGAAUAAUAAAUAGGAUCUAAUAAAAUCAUGAAUGGAAAUUAUUGGUGUAAGUUUGUUAGGAUAGACUUCCUCCAACCUGGAACUAUAUCCUCCAGUCCACGCGGUGGCGGUAACGCACCUAACAGCUGCGUCUCCGACCAGUAGAAAUCACAGAAGAAGAAAAAGCUGCAGCGGGUAUCUCCUGAGCAGUUGAGUUAUUACACCGAACUAAUCAUGUCCAGAUUAAAUUAUUUCUGACAGUUUUACAGUUAGGUUUGAUCCAGUUUAAACGUAAAAGCUGGUUAUUUUGUCUGUGUUUGAGGAAUUAAAACCGUUCUGUUUUUAAACCCGAGCGAUGAAGAAUCCAUUAAGGUGUACGUCCGCGUGCGACCUUUGACCCAAGGCCGGCUGAGGACAGACGGAGACCAGGAUUUAUGUUUGACGGUGACCUCGGAUCACACGCUGCGUCUGAACUCCAAACCCAAGCCGCGAAACUUCACCUACGAUCACGUGGCGGACAUGGACGCGACUCAGGAAUACAUGUUCUCCUUAGUCGCUAAAAACAUUGUGGAGUCGUGCACGCAUGGUUACAAUGGCACGAUAUUUGCAUAUGGACAGACGGGUUCAGGGAAGACCUUUCCCAUGCUGGGGCCGAACGAGCUGACUGAUUUCUCUGAUCAGCUGCGUGGUGUUAUUCCUCGUAGCAUUGAGCGUUUGUAAUCCCUCAUGAGAGUAAUCCCAUCAGAGUGGGGGCGGAGGUGAGCUGUUACAUUCAACCUCACAUCAAACACGCUACCUGCACCACCCUCCUGUCUGUAGACACGGCAGCAGACCCGCCCACUCGUCAAUAAGCCCACCCACUCGUCCACAGACCACCCGCUCGUCAAUAAGCCCACCCACUCGUCCACAGACCGCCCGCUCGUCAAUAAGCCCACCCACUCGUCCACAGACCGUCCGCUCGUCAAUAAGCCCGCCCACCUGUCCACAGACCGCCCGCUCGUCAAUAAGCCCGCCCACUUGUACAUAGACCCACCUGCUCUUCAAUAAGCCCACCCACUUUCCACAGACCACCCGCUCUUCAAUAAGCCCACCCACUCGUCCACAGACCGCCCGCUCGUCAAUAAGCCCGCCCACUUGUACAUAGACCCACCUGCUCUUCAAUAAGCCCACCCACUUGUCCACAGACCACCCGCUCUUCAAUAAGCCCACCCACUCGUCCACAGACCACCCGCUCGUCAAUAAGCCCGCCCACUUGUACAUAGACCCACCGCAGUCAUCACUGAGGUCACCUCUGUGUUUUAAAUUGUGCACUGCUUACAUUAAAAGUGCAUUAUGGGUAAUCUUCAUUUUCUAAGGUACAUCAUUUGACACUAAUCUGUUGCAGUGCAUUUUGGGAUUUUAUCAGCCGGAUGUUCUGGUCACGUUACACAGUAUUGUAAGUUUGUGUGUGUGUGUGUGUGUGUGUGUGUGUGUGUGUGUGUGUGCACGUGCAGUCUGCAGUAGCAAAGAGCUUCCUGUGUAAAUGCUCUUUCAUCGAGAUCUACGAAGAGAAGCCCUUUGACCUCCUGGGCAGCGCCUCAGUGAGUCUGGUCCUCAGAGAGGACAUUGAGAAAGCACUGUUUGUGGAAGGAGCGGUGGAGAAAUACGCGGCUUCAGCCACAGAUGCCUACCAGAAUCUGGAUCAGUUGUUCAGAACAAAGAAUCAGCACAGUUAAUCAGCACAGCAAACAGUUCAGAACUGACCAAGUGAAUCUCUAUCAAAUUACUGACUCAAGUGAAGUUUUAGAGCAGAGUAUUCCUACCCUGAACCUGUGAAUCACACUCCUUCAGAACGCUUAAACUAUACAAUAAAUUAGUAAAUUAAUCAAACUUAAAACCGAUCUAAUAAAUUGGUGAGGUAUGUUAGUUGUCGGGAACAGAAAAGUGAUAAAUUGGUGAACUGGGCAAGCUCAGAACUGAUUCAUUUAACUGGUUACACAAACAGAACAGAGAAUUAAUACAGUGAAUCAGUAAAUUAAACAGUUCAGAAUCGAUUCAGUGAAUCAGUUAAUCAAGCAGUUUGGAACUAAUACAGCAAAUUAGUACUUCAAACUUGUUCCGAAUUAAUACAGUGAAUCAGUAAAUUCACCGGCUCAGAAUUGAUUCAGUGACAAUUCAUAACUGAGGAAGAUGACACUCUGCACGCUGAGAGAGAGGCGGCUCUGGACGCUCUGCUCGCUGAGAGAGAGGCGGCUCUGGACGCUCUGCCGCUGAGAGAGAGGCGGCUCUGGACGCUCUGCUCGCUGAGAGAGAGGCGGCUCUGGACGCUCUGCGCGCUGAGAGAGAGGCGGCUCUGGACGCUCUGCGCGCUGAGAGAGAGGCGGCCCUGGACGCUCUGCGCGCUGAGAGAGAGGCGGCUCUGGACGCUCUGCACGCUGAGAGAGAGAGGCGGCUCUGGACGCUCUGCACGCUGAGAGAGAGGCGGCUCUGGACGCUCUGCACGCUGAGAGAGAGGCGGCUCUGGACGCUGUGCACGCUGAGAGAGAGGCGGCUCUGGACGCUCUGCGCGCUGAGAGAGAGGCGGCUCUGGACGCUCUGCGCGCUGAGAGAGAGGCGGCACUGGACGCUCUGCGCGCUGAGAGAGAGGCGGCUCUGGACGCUCUGCGCGCUGAGAGAGAGGCGGCUCUGGACGCUGUGCGCGCUGAGAGAGAGGCGGCUCUGGACGCUCUGCGCGCUGAGAGAGAGGCGGCUCUGGACGCUGUGCACGCUGAGAGAGAGGCGGCUCUGGACGUUCUGCACGCUGAGAGAGAGGCAGCUCUGUGUGCCGAGAUCGAUAGGCUCAGGCUGGAAAUUGUGACUAGGAGGACAAGCUCACGCAGGCCUAGAUGAGACGACUGAUCCUUGAGCAGAAGACGAAGGCGGUGGAAAACCGACACCGAAAAUAAACAAAAUACAGCUGAAGACUGGAAAAAACGUCACCUUCCAGUCUCCAGCUGUGUCAGGUUCCUGUUCCUGCCUGACAAGAGCGGAGCCUGAUGUGACGAUCUGCUGAUGGAGCCCAUCCACCUCAAGAUUUGAGGAUAGUUUAAUUUAACAACCAUGGUGAAAUGUAAACAGCAACCUUUAUGUUAGUUGUUUGUUGCCAUGGUUACAUUCUAACAUCAUAAAAUAUGGUACUUUCGAAUGGUUUCCAACGUUCACUGUGUUUAUACGAGGUUUCUACAAGAAAGUUUGGUUAGCAGAAGUUUGGUUAGCAGUUGAUGCUGUGUGUAAUUAAAGUGUAAUUUUAGCAAUGCAUUGUCUUUUCUUAGUAAUUUAUUUACAAAUCUGAGUGAAAUGUCUAUUUCCUGUAGCUCUGUUGUGUUUCCACCAUCAUUCCGUCUUUACAUCCUUACUAACAUCUUAAUAGCUAUGGUCCAGCUAGCUAAAGUGUCCGCCUUACCAACUGCAACAUGUUUCUCAGUUGCCUAGCAACAGUGUUUUUAUGACUUCACGAUGAGCAUAUGAUUUUAGCAUAUACUUCUUUUAGUAUUGGACCUUAGCCAAUCAGAAAUGAAUAUUUUCUCUCUCUGUCUCUCUCUCUUUCACGUACGUGUUGACGGUUACACCAUUUCUUACCUGUUUAGUUGCUAGGUAACCGGCCAACUUUCAUCUCAUUAAGCUCUCUGUGUUUCAUUUCUUUAUAGCUCGGUCACCAGGAAAAAUGUGUGCGCAUGCAUGGUUGUGUGUAUGUGUGUGUGUGUGUAUUUGUGUGUGUGUGUGUGUGUGUACACACAAUGUAGCGAGUCAUCAGGUUCUCAUGUAAUUGUUUUGGCAACACUGACCCGUGCUGUUGCUCAUGUGUGAAAGGAAUGAAGUGUUAAUGGAAAAUUGGCAGUGCGGAGUCUGAUAACCAGCACGGUCUGCUCCACGCACUCUGUGUGUGUGUGUGUGUGUGUGUGUGAGUGCCAAGAGAGUUACAUUGUUGUUAUUAUUAUGUUAUUAUAAGGCAUUGUGUCUAUCACGGUCUUUGGCUUGCUGCUCAAAUGAAAUGUAUAUGUUCGAUUGUUCUCUCUGUAACAUGGCCGCCCUGCCCUGCCUAUUUAGUUAGUGUUAUUUGAAAUGACUCUGUGGGACCGAAAUAGGUCAUUGUAGUUUUAAAAUCAUGUAAAUAAAAAGGCUUUUGAAAUUCAAA